rnacentral:misc_RNA from 1 species
ACAGAAACUGCACUAAUAGUGAACCAAUUAAACGAAAAAAAAAUGAAAUUCUUUUCAAGAAUUAUAAUGUUUACAGCUGUUAACAAUAUGUUUGUAACCCCUGAAUAUACUGGUAUAGAAGAGUGCAGCAGCGAGACCAUGGAAUCUGUCUGGAAUCAGACGCGGCAAACUUCCUGUCAACUCAGACAUGUGACAAUCAAUCUAGAUGCUUCAAACCAUACCGGUACUGUACAGGUAAUUCCUUCACAAACAGUCGUAAAACGGUGCGGGGGCUCCUGCCUUUCCCCUUCACAUUCAUGCUAUCCUACUAGCUCAACUAUGGUGAGUGUAGAAGCUAUGAUAAUCUCUACCAGCUGGAAUGAGGGAGAAUGGUCAACACUUUGCCAAACAUUCAGAGUUAGAGAGGAUACAGCAUGUGCUUGUGGUUGUACAGUAAGACCAGAGGACUGUACAGUACAUCAGUACUACCAGCCACAGGCCUGUAAGUGUAUUUGCAAAAACUGGAAACUCAGAAACAGCUGCGUCAGUCAGGAUAAGUAUUGGGACACGGAGAGCUGUACAUGUCUGUGCAAAAACUGGAGGUCAUGCAGUACAGGAUAUUUGUUUGAUGGUCAGAACAGUUGUACUUGUGUUCCAACAUUUGUUGUAGCAAGUCCCUCAAUAGUUGUAGUUGUAGCAGUUGCUUUAUUCUCAGCCCUUGGUCUACUUACCCUACUCAUCCUUAGUAGGUAAACCUUAAAUAGAUGUAGUUGUAGCAGUUGCUUUAUUCUCAGCCCUUGGUCUACUUACCCUACUCAUCCAUAGUAGAAAAUCAGGGAAUGCAAAUCUUUCAAGACGAGAAACCUUGGCGCGAGUUUUAACG